rnacentral:rRNA from 1 species
UACGUAGGGUGCAAGCGUUAAUCGGAAUUACUGGGCGUAAAGCGUGCGCAGGCGGUUCGUUGUGUCGGUGGUGAAAGCCCCGGGCUUAACCUGGGAAUGGCCAUGGAAACUGGCGAACUGGAGUGUGGCAGAGGGGGGUGGAAUUCCGCGUGUAGCAGUGAAAUGCGUAGAGAUGCGGAGGAACACCGAUGGCGAAGGCAGCCCCCCUGGGCUAACACUGACGCUCAGGCACGAAAGCGUGGGGAGCAAACAGG